rnacentral:rRNA from 1 species
UACGUAGGGGCCGAGCGUUGUCCGGAGUUAUUGGGCGUAAAGCGCGCGCAGGCGGCAGAGCAAGUCGAGUGUGAAAGCCCCGGGCUUAACUUGGGAAUUGCGCUCGAAACUACUUUGCUGGAGUGUGGCAGAGGAAGGUGGAAUUCCACGUGUAGCGGUGAAAUGCGUAGAGAUGUGGAGGAACACCAAUGGCGAAGGCAGCCUUCUGGGCCAACACUGACGCUCAUGCACGAAAGCGUGGGGAGCAAACAGG